GCUUUCACAAGGACAGGAAGGGGGUUCUCCCACUUGAACCCUAAACUCACAAUUUGAUCAAAAUCAAAGGAGAAUCAAGAUAAGAAAUUAGGGAUUUAACUAAAAUCGUGAUCACCUAAGCUAGGAGAUCACAAGGCAAGGUGGUUGAAUCUUCAAGCGGUCAAGUAAGAGCGGACGCGCGCUUGAAGGAUAAGCUUUGAAAGGUGAAUGUUAUAGGCCUCCAGAUGAAGAUCAAGUGACGAACAAGAAUCGAAUACACGUCUAAAUAAAGCUUUCGCAUUUGAUCUUGUUUUGUUUUAUAAAAAGUGAAUUAUGUAAACACUUUUAACUAUGUUUUUGGAUGUUAUAAACAUGUCUGAAUACUUAUGAUGAAUAUUUUUGUUA